rnacentral:tRNA from 1 species
GCGGGUAUAACUCAGGAGUAGAAUGUCGGGGAUUAUUAACCCGAACGUCGGUGGUGCAAUUCCACCUGCCCGCA